ACGCCCCAGCCCAAGUCAAGUUAAAAAAAAAAAAAGUAGUCAGAUUUUUGCACGUGAGCCCACCCACCUAUCUCUUAAUUCCCCACCACUCAUUUCUCACAAAAUAUCUCCCCUUUGGCCGGCUAGCUCUCCUCUCUUCUCACUUUGCUCUCUUCUUCUUUUUCAUUUUGUCUCAAACACCCACAAUCCUCUCUCACACUCCCUCACUCUCCCACCAGUGCAUCACUCCACCGCCUCCACCAUUAUCUUCCGGCGAAAAAGCUCCAUAAAACCUCUUAAGCUCCUACAUCUCAUCUUAUUUAAGAGUAGACAAUAAUCUUUUGAGACAGCUUUUUGGUGGCUAACAGUAGUUCGAUGGAGGCUGAAUUUUUAUAAUGGAGAUAUUAGAUGAUGUACAUCUUAGAAUAGACUUAACUCAUUCUUUUGUAUAUUAUAGUGGUUGUGAUGUUAUUCCCACUGAUGGGACAAGUUGAUGAUAUGUAAUUAUUUAUUCAGACCUAUA